AGUGAACGCUGGCGGUAGGCCUAACACAUGCAAGUCGAACGGCAGCACAGUAAGAGCUUGCUCUUACGGGUGGCGAGUGGCGGACGGGUGAGGAAUACAUCGGAAUCUACUUUUUCGUGGGGGAUAACGUAGGGAAACUUACGCUAAUACCGCAUACGACCUACGGGUGAAAGCAGGGGAUCUUCGGACCUUGCGCGAUUGAAUGGGCCGAUGUCGGAUUAGCUAGUUGGCGGGGUAAAGGCCCACCAAGGCGACGAUCCGUAGCUGGUCUGAGAGGAUGAUCAGCCACACUGGAACUGAGACACGGUCCAGACUCCUACGGGAGGCAGCAGUGGGGAAUAUUGGACAAUGGGCGCAAGCCUGAUCCAGCCAUACCGCGUGGGUGAAGAAGGCCUUCGGGUUGUAAAGCCCUUUUGUUGGGAAAGAAAAGCAGCAGGUUAAUACCCCGCUGUUCUGACGGUACCCAAAGAAUAAGCACCGGCUAACUUCGUGC
rnacentral:rRNA from 1 species